CCUACGGGGGGCAGCAGUGGGGGAUAUUGCACAAUGGGGGAAACCCUGAUGCAGCGACGCCGCGUGAGUGAAGAAGUAUUUCGGUAUGUAAAGCCCUAUUAGCAGGGAAGAAAAUGACAGUACCGGACCAAGAAGCCCCGGCUAACUACGUGCCAGCAGCCGCGGUAAUACGUAGGUGGCAAGCGUUAUCCGGAUUUACGGGGUGUAAAGGGGGCGUAGACGGUUAUGUAGGUCUGGAGUGAAAGCCCGGUGCCCAACCCCGGGACUGCUUUGGAAACUGUGUAACUGGAGUACAGGAGGGGCAGGCGGAAUUCCUGGUGUAGCGGUGAAAUGCGUAGAUAUCAGGAGGAACACCGGCGGCGAAGGCGGCCUGCUGGACUGAAACUGACGUUGAGGCUCGAAAGCGUGGGGAGCAAACAGGAUUAGAUACCCGGGUAGUC
rnacentral:rRNA from 1 species